GUGGGGAAUCUUGCGCAAUGGGGGCAACCCUGACGCAGCGACGCCGCGUGGAGGACGAAGUCUUUCGGGAUGUAAACUCCUGUCAGUGGGGACGAUAAUGACGGUACCCACAGAGGAAGCACCGGCUAACUCCGUGCCAGCAGCCGCGGUAAGACGGAGGGUGCAAGCGUUGUUCGGAAUUACUGGGCGUAAAGCGUAUGUAGGCGGCAAGUUAAGUUCAAUGUUAAAGCCCACGGCUCAACCGAGGAGAUGCAUUGAAUACUGGCUAGCUAGAGGGUGUUAGAGGAAGACGGAAUUCCCAGUGUAGCGGUGAAAUGCGUAGAUAUUGGGAGGAACAUCGGUAGCGAAAGCGGUCUUCUGGGACAUACCUGACGCUGAGGUACGAAAGCGUGGGGAGCAAACGGGAUUAGAAACCCGGGUAGUCC
rnacentral:rRNA from 1 species